CCUACGGGCGGCAGCAGUAGGGAAUCUUCCACAAUGGGCGAAAGCCUGAUGGAGCAACGCCGCGUGGGUGAAGAAGGUCUUCGGAUCGUAAAACACUGUUGUUAGAGAAGAAAGUGCGUGAGAGUAUCUGUUCACGUUUCGACGGUAUCUAACCAGAAAGCACCGGCUAACUACGUGCCAGCAGCCGCGGUAAUACGUAGGUGGCAAGCGUUAUUCGGAUUUAGUGGGCGUAAAGGGCACGCAGGCGGUCUGUUAAGUCUGAUGUGAAAUCCUUGGGCUUAACCGGAGUAGUGCAUUGGAUACUGGGAGACUUGAGUGCAGAAGAGGAGAGUGGAACUCCAUGUGUAGCGGUGAAAUGCGUAGAGAUAUGGAAGAACACCGGUGGCGAAGGCGGCCCUCUGGUCGAUAACUGACGCUGAGGUGCGAAAGCGUGGGUAGCAAACAGGAUUAGAUACCCGGGUAGUC
rnacentral:rRNA from 1 species